rnacentral:misc_RNA from 1 species
AUUUGUUUUGACAUUUCCAGAAAAAUAGUCUUAUCAGAAUAAUUUUUUCCUCCAACUAAGCAGUCACAAAAAGACAAAAAAAAGUGUUAAUUAAUUAAGAAAAUUAAGAAAUCUCUUCGAGAAAAUGUCUGUUAAUACAGCCCACGCCAAUAAUGGCGUUUUAAUACAUGCUGGAGAAUACAUCUUACUCCAUAGCGACAAUGUUUCGAUGGAUUUUUCGGGUCAGGACAAUCCUGUAUUUCGUGGCACUAAGCAGGGUCGUAUCUAUUUGACUUCUCAUCGUUUGAUUUUUAAUAAUAAGAAAUCAGGCGAUGAGAUGCAGUCAUUUAGUGCACCAUUUAUUGCUAUGAAUGAUGUUGAGCUUGAACAACCUGUUUUCGGAGCCAACUAUAUUAAGGGCAAAGUACGUGCCCAGCCCAAUGGUAACUUUAUUGGUGAAGUUAAAUUUAAGCUCUAUUUUAAAUCGGGCGGUGCUAUUGAGUAUGGUAUGGCUUUGUUGCGUGCAGCUAAGACGGCCCAGAGUAAUUAUCAUAAUGGUGGUGGCGGUUAUGAUGAUCCACCACCAUAUACACCUUCGGGUAAUUGGCAUGAGGCACCACCACCAGCCUAUCAGCCACCACCAGGCUAUUACGGUUGGUUGCCACAACAUGAUGCCUUUAGUGGACCAGCACCCAAUACGGUGUUUAUGAGUGAUAAUCCACCACCUUAUCCAGGCAUUGGAGGACGCAAUACUGUUUAUUAUCAAUAUUAUUAUCCUUAUCAAACUGGCUUUAUGUUUGUACCAGUUAUUAUACCCAUAUAAUUUUCUCAAUUAUCCAGUUAACAAAUCUUAAUGUAGUGAAACCUAAAUCUUCCCAUAUUAUUUGUAUUUUAAUAAAACUUUAAGAAAACCAUCAUUUACAUAUAAAUAAAUAUUCAAAAGAAGCUGAGGCCUUAGCAAGUGCUUAUAAUACUACUGAAAAUCAACGU